GUGCUGGCUUCUGCAGCACCUAUGUUAAAAUUGCAAUAAUACAGAGAAGAUUAGGAUGACAUGUAAAUUUCUGAAGCAUUCCAUAUUAAA
ensembl:snRNA U6 U6 spliceosomal RNA